rnacentral:tRNA from 1 species
UGGAGAAAGUCAUAAUGGUUAUGGAGUUGGCUUGAAACUAAUUUUUAGAAGGUUCGAUUCCUUCCUUUCUUGA